UACGGAGGGUGCGAGCGUUGUCCGGAAUCACUGGGCGUAAAGGGCGCGUAGGCGGCCUGAUAAGUAGGGGGGUGAAAUCCUGCGGCUUAACCGCAGGGCUGCCUUCUAAACUGUCAGGCUCGAGCACAGUAGAGGCAGGUGGAAAUUCCCCGGGUGUAGCGGUGGAAUGCGUAGAGAUCGGGGAAGAACAUCAGUGGCGAAGGCGGC
rnacentral:rRNA from 1 species